rnacentral:rRNA from 1 species
UACGAAGGGGGCUAGCGUUGCUCGGAAUCACUGGGCGUAAAGGGCGCGUAGGCGGCCAUUCAAGUCGGGGGUGAAAGCCUGUGGCUCAACCACAGAAUUGCCUUCGAUACUGGCGAUCUUGAGUCCGGGAGAGGUGAGUGGAACUCCGAGUGUAGAGGUGAAAUUCGUAGAUAUUCGGAAGAACACCAGUGGCGAAGGCGGCUCACUGGCCCGGUACUGACGCUGAGGUGCGAAAGCGUGGGGAGCAAACAGG